CUGAACCUGUACAUUGGAUUCUUCAAUAGCUUUGAUCGAGAUUCAGCAUAAACAAAAAAAAUAUUCUUCUUGGAAGUUUCUACAAUCUUUCUUCGAUGUUAUGUGGCUGUGUAACCGGAUAGGAUAUGUAGAUUUUGAGUCCAAUGUGGAAUCCUAUUGAGUAUACAACGAGCAGAAUAAACAGCUGCGGCAGCAAUAUUUGAAGAGGAAUAUAAAAAUACUUGAUAGUGAAGAAGACCAAGUUCUGCUAUGUAAAAUGCCAAGUGCUCCAUCUACAAAUAUCAAAGGAAUUGUAUCAGAAUCAAUUAUUUACAUAGGUGCUGAAUUCAGAGUCGCAGCCUUCACAGAAGAUCUUCGCUUUUUUUUAGGAGCAAAAUCUUGUUUUUCUCCUGAUUCAGAAGACACGUCCAUAGGCUCAGGUUUUGGCUCAUCGGUCCGAUCUUCACCAACAUUCUGAAAACAAACAUUAGGCAGUAGAUUGAGUCGAUCACAAGAAUUAUUCAAUUAGCAUGUAACAUUGGCGAGUUCUAUGCUUGACCACUUUGAUAAGUGGCAUAGACCAAUACUUUAAAACCGGUUGAAACUGACUUGACUGGUUUGAUAAAAACUAGAGAAAACGAAUAUGCAUGACUUAAAACUCAAGUCAUGUUCAUUUUUCCUUAUUUUGUCGAACCAACAUCGAUCAAGUCAUUCUCAGUCGUAUGGAUGGUUAAUAUCAUAAGCUUCUACUUCCUAGAGGUAUCGUGGAACAUUGUUAAAGUUUCGGAUAACUAUUCAAGUAAUGGUCAAGUGUAGAACCCGCCCACAUCACUAGGUGAGAUAAGAAAAUGUCUUCUUUAAGGUAAAUUUACUUGAUCUCCUUGUGCAACUCCUUGGUGAUUAGUUGGCACUUGUAACCCUGGUAUCAGGUUCUGUAAAUCAAGAAGGACAUUCACUUCAAACCUGUUAUAUACAUAGAUGUUAAAUUUAA